AUGAGUCUACAUCAGGGCUUACAGGAAAAGAGUGCUGUGAUCAAUUAGUAAUGUCUGCCAUGGGUACAGGGAGAGUAGUCUAUACUAAGGCAUUUCCUGACCCUAACACUAAAAAUAGGCAGGAUUUCAGGAGACCCUUGUGACUGUGUGACUGUGGUUGCCUGACACAUGACCAGGGACAGCAAGUCAUUGAGCUACUGCUUGCCUCCUUUUACCUGUUUGCAAGACAGAGAUGCCAAAAUGGGACUCACUGCAUUUUUAGGAGCUAGAACUGGACAGCCCAGCCUUCCUGUUUUAACCCAGCCUGCUCUGGGCUGGAGUGAGGACCAAGUGUGAGAUGCCCCUAUAUGGAAACACAUAGCACUCAGCAGAUGCCUGGUGGGCGGCUGACCAGGAGCCGGAGCUGCGGUGAGAGCACAGGAGAACUGGGCUUCCAGCUGCUCUGCCAUUGGCCCUGCUUGAGCCUCAGCUUCUCCAUAUGCUCAGUGGGUGCUUGGAGGGUGGAAGUGUUUUGGAGCCUCUGGAAUCUACCGUUUUGUGAUGCCUGCAAUGCUGAGACCUGGGGUCGGGGGAGCAGAAUGAAAGCCCUGGAGGGGAGAUGGUGGAAAGGAACAAUCCAGUGCCAAUGUGAAAGCUAGGUGGGCAGAGGGAGUCGAGAGGAAGCGGGGAAGAGCGAAGAGAGGCCACCGCUGCUGGAUCUUCCUGAGGGCUGUCCAGCUCCAUCAGGGGGCACUUCCCUGUGCACCCCACAUCCCAGGUGCUAUCCCCAAGCAAGGGAGGGAGGGAAGAGAGGGUGGGCAAUGUGGGGGCCCCAGGUAGUGUUGGAGGGGCUGAGACCCUGACAGGUAGGCACCUGGGUUAUGAAGAGGCCCUGGCAACAGUGACCCAGCCCUAAGGCUGGAACCCAGGAGCAGCACGGACUGGGGUAGAUGACGCAGGCCAAGCCCCAGUACUCAGGGAGGAGCAUGGAGAAGACCAGGACAGCUCCCAGGGAGGCCGAGGUGAACCUGAGACCCUGCAAACAGACUGACCAUGUCUCCCAGGUGGACGCAGCGGGUUCUCCACGAGCGUGACUUGGGGAUUCGGAGCACUGAGACUGUGCUACCCACCCCCCUUAAAAAUCCCUCAUGGCUCCCAGUUGCCCUGAAGGGGAAGCCCAAACUCCUCAGAGGCAGCACAUGCUGGUGGGUGAGAGUUGGGAGCCUGAGUCCAAGUUCCAGCCUGGCCACUAUUCAGCUGUGUGACCACUGGCAACUCGCCUAACCUCUCUGGGCCUCAUGGGCUCGUUGGAGGAUGUGGUGAGAGAGUGACUGAGAUGAGCUUAGCACAGUACUGGCCAUACUGUCACUGUUCAAUGCCAGAUGGCUGUGCUUACCACCACUGCUGGCUGUAACUGGCAGAGCAUGGCACAGAAGGUCCUGGCCACCUGAACCCCAGUCAGCCUCUCCUUUCUCGUCGGUUCCAGCUCCACCCGCCGAUGCCGCCCCAACAGCAAGCUGCUCUCUGUUUCCUCAGCACUCCCUGGUCUUUUUCAUGCCACUAGGCCUUUGCUCCUGCUGUCCCCUCACCAGGAAUGCCCUUUCCCCUCCAGGCCACUUCCAGACUCUGUCAGUUGUCGAGUGCCCUGGGAACCUCCUCACCCCCAAGGAGUGACUCAGUGUCCUGUGUGCAUUCAGAGCUUGGUGUGUGGCAUCGGGUCUGUCUCCCGUCUGAUUCUGGGACUUCUCAGGCGCGCAUGUCGUGGCCUAUUCAUUUUCUUGUCCUUGGUGCCCAGCACCGCGCCUGUCACACGGUGGGUGCGCCAUAGAGUGGGCUGAAGGAUGGAAGCAAUGAAUCCCCAACACGGUGGGCGUGCUCGGCUCAGGGAUGGCAGAUCGCGCUCCACUCCGGAUCUGUGUUCUCCUUCCUUAGCCUCAAGGAGAAACGGGACGCCUCAGCACUUCUCCGACGAUGCCGGCGAGAGACGCUUCGCUUCGAUGAAAUGCUCGGCCUCCAAGUUAGUGCUCUGCAUGAGGGAUGGGGACAUAGAGGCCCCACGAAGGAUCAGCAAGGCCCCUAAUGACCCCUUCCUCUCCUUGCCCCUCCCCUGCCUCUUAUUCCUGCUCUGAGCAGGCAUUGAGCUCCUGGGGUUGGGUGAGGAAGGGAGAGCAAGUGGCAGGGGGUGGGUGGACAGCAGGUGCUCCGUCCUACAGGCGCUGCUGGGAUCAGGAUGCCACCCUUGCCACCCUGGGAGUUGUCUGCAGCACAGGGGCAGCUGGAGGUGGGGGUAGUGUCCUCCGUGGCCAGCCCUGGCCAGGCCCUUGUCCCCACUACCCUCCCUGGCUGCCAGACCUCUCACUGCGAGGCAGCCAGGUCUCCCUGUCCUGGCAGGGGGAAGGCUGUUGCUCCCAUCUGGCUCUGCUCCUGGCCAUCUGCCCUCUGACCCCACCUGCCGCAGGCUGAGGGCCCCUGCAGGAUGCUCGAGUUAAACAGAGUCCGAGGGAGUAGUCAGUCCAGCCCUCCCAUUUGGCAGAUGAGAAAACUGAGGCCCAGGGAGGCAAAGAGGCUUGUCAGAGGUCACACCAGGAACCCAGCAUUUUGUCUAUGGCUCGAUGUCCUCUCAGGACAGGAGAAGACCUUGGCUUUGAGCUUGAGGGAAUAGCAAAACUUGGACCUUGAAGACAGGAAAUUGCCAUGACUGAUUUGUGGGCAGGCGGUGUGACCUUGGGUGUGUUACCUAACCUCGCUGAGCUGCGUGAUGCUGGUGAGGAUUCGGUGAGAUGACAACUGGUCAGUGCCUGGCAGGACUCCUGGCACGUCCCUGACGCUCCAUCAACGGGAGCUUUUGAUAUGAUUAGGAAGCAGGGGAGUCGCGCUGAGACACUGCUUAGCGCCCAUGCCAGGGAGGAAGCAAGACAGCAGGAGCGAGGAAAGAACCCCAGGCUGUGAUGAGGAAGCCUCCUACUUUUGCCUGAAGUGAGAAGUAACACCUGGCAAGUUUGGUAUCUCAAGGCACCACCCAUUCCUUCUUAAUCCACAAGAACUCCCUGAGGGUGAGGAACCUGGGAGGUCACCACAGCCUGCAAAUUCGAGCCUGGAUAUAGUGAGUGUCUGGAGUGGACGGACUUUCUGCAGGUGUGUGCACAUUGUCGGCCAAAUCUCAGCCUCGAACUGUGUCCUGAGCUUAGGACUCCUCCUGGCUCUCUUCUGGGAACAUUGUGGCUCAGAGAGGUUAAGUGAGUUGCCCAAGGUCACUCAGGUAGAAAGUGGCAGGGCCAAGACUAGACCCCAGGGCCAUCUUGCUCCAAAGUUCUUAACCACUAGACUUUCUGGCUCUCACCCUGUACGUGGGUUGCAGAUAUUUGGUUUUGUUAUUUUAUUUUAUUUUUAUUUUUAUU